rnacentral:tRNA from 1 species
UGGGAAUUAGCCAAGUGGUAAGGCUCUGGUCUCUGAAACCAGCAUGCAGUGGUUCGAACCCACUAUUCCCA